rnacentral:rRNA from 1 species
UACGGAGGGUGCAAGCGUUAAUCGGAAUUACUGGGCGUAAAGCGCACGUAGGUGGUUUGCUAAGCCAGCUGUGAAAUCCCCGGGCUCAACCUGGGCACUGCAGUUGGAACUGGUAAGCUAGAGUAGGGUAGAGGGGUGUGGAAUUCCAGGUGUAGCGGUGAAAUGCGUAGAUAUCUGGAGGAACAUCAGUGGCGAAGGCGACACCCUGGACUCAUACUGACACUGAGGUGCGAAAGCGUGGGGAGCAAACAGG